UUUGCUUUCAGAUUACUGGUGCGAUUUGUUCGGAUGCCAAAAUGGGGGAGUUUGCGUGAACCUGCCAUUCGAUCCGUUCUACGAGUGCAUCUGCAGCCCUGGGUGGGCCGGACCCACCUGUGAAUAUCCAAACUCAAUGCCAACAACCAGGCCAUGGAUUUCUACCGGACGUUUUGACUCAAUGCUAACAUCCAGGCCAUGGAUUUCUACCGGACGUUUUGAUGCGCCCAUACGGCUGGCUGGGGGUGGCUCCUCGUGUCAGGGCCGGGUGGAGGUGUUCUACCGCGGCACGUGGGGCACGGUGUGCGAUGACAUCUGGAAUCUGCAGCACGCCCAGGUCGUGUGUCGCCAGCUGGGCUGUGGCUCCGCUGUUGCUGCCUUGUCCUUAGCUUACUUCGGACAGGGCUAUGGUCAGAUAUGGCUCGACAAUGUCCAGUGCUCAGGCUACGAGCCUCAGCUCUCCUUCUGUCAGCAUCUUCCCUGGGGGAGUAACGACUGUGGGCAUAAUGAGGAUGCCUCUGUCAUCUGCUUGCAAGGUACGUCGUCACA